GUGUCAGCCGCCGCGGUAAUACGUAGGUGGCAAGCGUUAUCCGGAUUUAUUGGGCGUAAAGAGCGCGUAGGUGGUCCUAUAAGUUGGGCGUGAAAGCCCCCGGCUUAACUGGGGAGGGUCGUUCAAUACUGUAGGACUUGAGGGUGGAUGAGGAGAUCGGAAUUCCCGGUGUAGUGGUGAAAUGCGUAGAUAUCGGGAGGAACACCUGUGGCGAAGGCGGAUCUCUAGGCCACUCCUGACACUGAGGCGCGAAAGCGUGGGGAGCGAACGGAAUUAGAUACUCCGGUAGUCCACGCCCUAAACUAUGGACACUAGGUGUGGUGGGUAUCGACCCCUGCCGUGCCGUAGUCAACACAAUAAGUGUCCCGCCUGGGGACUACGAGCGCAAGCUUAAA
rnacentral:rRNA from 1 species